ACUUAUCUAGUGCGUAUUCAGCCAUUUUUUGGGACGAUUUUUUCGUUCAAAGUUCUGCAAAGUCUUUUACGGAAUUACUCGUUCUUAAGAAUGGUGCAUUUGCGCACGGAGUGCGCCGAAUCAACUGAAAUUGCUGUUUGAAAGUCUCGUAGAGGACUGACACCUGUCAGAAACCUGCGAUUUUGGAUGGCAGACGAAUUUGGUUGUAGAUUUGAGCUUUUUGUUGCAGUCAUUGCAAGUUAAAGUCGUUUUUGUGCGACGCAUGCGUUUCGCAUUAAUGAUUUUGGCUUGUGGUGGCUGUUUCCCAGUUCUAUAUUCGGUGUUUAGUCAAUGACUUAUCUGACCCGUCUUGAAACACGGAUCAAGGAGUUUAAGGUGUACGCAAGUCAUUGAUUGUUGAAAGUCAUAGGCGUAAUGAAAGUGGGACACUUGGUGUCUGUGGUGUGAGCUGUGGUUUGUUUCGACGAACUCAGCGCAACAUCAACCCAUGACUAGAACUUGUUCUGUUGUGGAGUUUGAGCGUACGCUUUGAGACCCGAAAGAUGGUGAACUAUGCCCGAACAGGACGAAGUCAGAGGAAACUCUGAUGGAAGUCCGAAGCGGUUCUGACGUGCAAAUCGAUCGUCUGAUUUGGGUAUAGG
rnacentral:rRNA from 1 species